rnacentral:snoRNA from 1 species
ACUCAAGUAUAUAUGGUAUCUGUUUAGUGGUAUUUUGUCGUUCCUCCUGCUCAAAAUAAAGUUGUUGUUUUUCUAUCCCUGUUUGCCCAGAGACGCUUGAGCUCAUACAU